GCACCAGUGGUGUAGUGGUAUCAUGCAAGAUUCCCAUUCUUGGCACCCGGGUUCGAUUCCCGGCUGGUGCA
rfam:Pterocles gutturalis contig55143, whole genome shotgun sequence.